rnacentral:rRNA from 1 species
UGGGGAAUUUUGGACAAUGGGCGAAAGCCUGAUCCAGCAAUGCCGCGUGUGUGAAGAAGGCCUUCGGGUUGUAAAGCACUUUUGUCCGGAAAGAAAUCCUUGGCUCUAAUACAGCCGGGGGAUGACGGUACCGGAAGAAUAAGCACCGGCUAACUACGUGCCAGCAGCCGCGGUAAUACGUAGGGUGCAAGCGUUAAUCGGAAUUACUGGGCGUAAAGCGUGCGCAGGCGGUUUGCUAAGACCGAUGUGAAAUCCCCGGGCUCAACCUGGGAACUGCAUUGGUGACUGGCAGGCUAGAGUAUGGCAGAGGGGGGUAGAAUUCCACGUGUAGCAGUGAAAUGCGUAGAGAUGUGGAGGAAUACCGAUGGCGAGGGCAGCCCCCUGGGCCAAUACUGACGCUCAUGCACGAAAGCGUGGGGAGCAAACAGGAUUAGAUACCCUGGUAGUCCACGCCCUAAACGAUGUCAACUAGUUGUUGGGGAUUCAUUUCCUUAGUAACGUAGCUAACGCGUGAAGUUGACCGCCUGGGGAGUACGGUCGCAAGAUUAAAACUCAAAUGAAUUGACGGGGUCAUAGCUGUUUCCU